UACGUAGGGUGCGAGCGUUGUCCGGAAUUAUUGGGCGUAAAGGGGCUCGUAGGCGGUUUGUCGCGUCGGGAGUGAAAUCCACUGGCUUAACUGGUGGCUUGCUUUCGAUACGGGCAGACUGGAGUACUGCAGGGGGAGACUGGAAUUCCUGGUGUAGCGGUGGAAUGCGCAGAUAUCAGGAGGAACACCGGUGGCGAAGGCGGGUCUCUGGGCAGUAACUGACGCUGAGGAGCGAAAAGCGUGGGGAGCGAACAGG
rnacentral:rRNA from 1 species